CCUACGGGGGGCUGCAGUGGGGAAUAUUGGACAAUGGGCGAAAGCCUGAUCCAGCCAUGCCGCGUGUGUGAAGAAGGCCUUCGGGUUGUAAAGCACUUUCAGUGGGGAAGAAAGCCUUGGGGCUAAUACCCUCGAGGAAGGACAUCACCCACAGAAGAAGCACCGGCUAACUCCGUGCCAGCAGCCGCGGUAAUACGGAGGGUGCGAGCGUUAAUCGGAAUUACUGGGCGUAAAGCGCGCGUAGGCGGUCUGAUAAGCCGGUUGUGAAAGCCCCGGGCUCAACCUGGGAACGGCAUCCGGAACUGUCAGGAUAGAGUGCAGGAGAGGAAGGUAGAAUUCCCGGUGUAGCGGUGAAAUGCGUAGAGAUCGGGAGGAAUACCAGUGGCGAAGGCGGCCUUCUGGACUGACACUGACGCUGAGGUGCGAAAGCGUGGGUAGCAAACAGGAUUAGAUACCCUGGUAGUC
rnacentral:rRNA from 1 species